rnacentral:rRNA from 1 species
GAUGAACGCUGGCGGCGUGCCUAACACAUGCCAGUCGAGCGGCAGCGAGGGGUGCUUGCACCCUGUCGGCGAGCGGCGGACGGCUGAGUAACGCGUGGGAACGUGCCCCAAAGUGAGGAAUAACUGCCCGAAAGGGUAGCUAAUACCGCAUAUUAUCUUCGGAUCAAAGGAUUUAUCCGCUUUGGGAGCGGCUCGCGUCGGAUUAGGUAGUUGGUGAGGUAAUGGCUCACCAAGCCGACGAUCCGUAGCUGGUCUGAGAGGAUGACCAGCCAGACUGGAACUGAGACACGGUCCAGACUCCUACGGGAGGCAGCAGUGAGGAAUCUUCCACAAUGGGCGAAAGCCUGAUGGAGCAACGCCGCGUGCAGGACGAAGGCCUUCGGGUUGUAAACUGCUUUUAUAAGUGAGGAAUAUGACGGUAACUUAUGAAUAAGGAGCGGCUAACUACGUG